AAACUAACAAGGAUUCCCCUAGUAGCGGCGAGCGAAGCGGGAAGAGCUCAAAUUUAUAAUCUGGCACCUUCGGUGUCCGAGUUGUAAUCUCUAGAAGUGUUUUCCGCGUUGGACCGCACACAAGUCUGUUGGAAUACAGCGGCAUAGUGGUGAGACCCCCGUAUAUGGUGCGGACGCCCAACGCUUUGUGAUACACUUUCGAAGAGUCGAGUUGUUUGGGAAUGCAGCUCAAAUUGGGUGGUAAAUUCCAUCUAAAGCUAAAUAUUGGCGAGAGACCGAUAGCGAACAAGUACCGUGAGGGAAAGAUGAAAAGCACUUUGGAAAGAGAGUUAACAGUACGUGAAAUUGUUGGAAGGGAAACGCUUGAAGUCAGACUUGCUUGCCGAGCAAUCGGUUUGCAGGCCAGCAUCAGUUUUCCGGGGUGGAUAAUGGUAGAGAGAAGGUAGCAGUUUCGGCUGUGUUAUAGCUCUCUGCUGGAUACACCUUGGGGGACUGAGGAACGCAGUGUGCCUUACGGCGGAUUUCUCGAGAUCUUCACACUUAGGAUGCUGGUGGAAUGGCUUUAAACGAC
rnacentral:rRNA from 7 species